rnacentral:rRNA from 1 species
UACGUAGGGUGCAAGCGUUAAUCGGAAUUACUGGGCGUAAAGCGCGCGCAGGCGGUUUUGUAAGUUUGUUGUGAAAUCCCCGGGCUCAACCUGGGAAUGGCGAUGAAGACUGCAAGGCUAGAAUCUGGCAGAGGGGGGUAGAAUUCCACGUGUAGCAGUGAAAUGCGUAGAGAUGUGGAGGAACACCGAUGGCGAAGGCAGCCCCCUGGGUCAAGAUUGACGCUCAUGCACGAAAGCGUGGGGAGCAAACAGG